CUCACACACAGCAGUGUAUGUGUGUGUGUUUGUGUAUGUAUCUAUAUAUAUAUAUAUAUAUAUAUAUAUAUAUAUAUAUAUAGAUACAUACACACACACACACACGGCGUGUGUUUG
rnacentral:miRNA from 1 species